AUUGAACGCUGGCGGAAUGCUUUACACAUGCAAGUCGAACGGCAGCACGGACUUCGGUCUGGUGGCGAGUGGCGAACGGGUGAGUAAUAUAUCGGAACGUGCCCAGUCGUGGGGGAUAACGUAGUGAAAAUUACGCUAAUACCGCAUACGAUCUACGGAUGAAAGCGGGGGAUCGCAAGACCUCGCGCGAUUGGAGCGGCCGAUAUCAGAUUAGGUAGUUGGUGAGGUAAAGGCUCACCAAGCCAACGAUCUGUAGCUGGUCUGAGAGGACGACCAGCCACACUGGAACUGAGACACGGUCCAGACUCCUACGGGAGGCAGCAGUGGGGAAUUUUGGACAAUGGACGCAAGUCUGAUCCAGCCAUUCCGCGUGCAGGACGAAGGCCUUCGGGUUGUAAACUGCUUUUGUACAGAACGAAAAGGUCUCUAUUAAUACUAGGGGCUCAUGACGGUACUGUAAGAAUAAGCACCGGCUAACUACGUG
rnacentral:rRNA from 1 species